UUUCUUGUGCGUGCCUAUUUUUCAACUUCUCUAUAACCUUUGUACUUGCAUGGUUUUAUGAGAAUAAACUAUCUACCUUCAUCAGUUGAUAGUUGACCGCAUGUUUGAUUUUGUUGUAAAAGCUUUUGGAUAUUUAAAAAAAAAAGCUUGCAUUUGCCAUUUAUCAGAUAAUUUAUACAAAGAAAGCACAAGUGCCAGCAAUCAUCAACCUCGAGAAAAAGCAAACGAAUGUUUCUUGGAGUUUUAGUUUCAAGCAUGCAGCUACAUAACUUGAAAAACCCAAAAGAGAAAGGGAAGAAACAGAAAAGGAAUAGUAUACAAAGAAAACCAUGUAUCAAGAUUCGCACAGUUAACGGCGUAAAAGGUCCUACAUACAUGACAUAUAUGUUUAAAAUGUUGAAGUAAAUUCUAUCAAGUGGUUAUUUAGAGAUGAGUGAUUUUAUCUUAUUUGAUAUUACAAAUGCCAGGAUAAGUGUAAAUUUUUUACUUUUUGUUUCAAAAAUUAUAUUUACAUUGUGUUGAAAAGUACAUACUUUAUCUACAUAUCAAUUUAACCAUAGCACUAGAAAAUUAACGUGUAGAUGCAUUAUAUGCAAAUG